rnacentral:rRNA from 1 species
ACGAACUGCGCGAACGUUAUUCGGAAUCAUUGGGCUUAAAGAGUUCGUAGGCGGCUUAGUAAGUCGGGUGUGAAAUCCCUCGGCCCAACCGAGGAACUGCGCCCGAUACUGCUGAGCUUGAGGGAGACAGAGGUGAGCGGAACUGAUGGUGGAGCGGUGAAAUGCGUUGAUAUCAUCAGGAACACCGGUGGCGAAAGCGGCUCACUGGGUCUCUUCUGACGCUGAGGAACGAAAGCUAGGGGAGCAAACGGG